GCGGAAGUAGCUCAGUUGAUAGAGCAUUAGCCUUCCAAGCUGAGGGUCGCGGGUUUGAGCCCCGUCUUCCGCUCUU
rnacentral:tRNA from 1 species